rnacentral:lncRNA from 1 species
ACUUAUUUGGGGCAAAGAACAAACUCACCACUGUUAGAGAGAGUUCAUUCCUCGUAAUGGACUGUCAGAGUUGUCAGAAGUUGUGUGGAAAACAUACCAAUAAAGAGGAAAGGAUCAGCAGAUUGAAAAAGAAGGCGACAAAACUUGGGAAAUAAAGGAGACCUGAGUAUCUUUCUAAGCCAUUGACUUGCCCUGACCUCGAGUGCUGCAUUUGGACACUGCGUGCUUCUAUUAUUCCAGUGGUCAAAAGGGGACACAAAACAUGUAUGUGUCCUCUUGCCAUAUGUGGAUAGAAAGCAUUAGGAGAUGGGGAGGUGUAAGGAGAGUGAAUGGAGGUGCACGGGGAUGCUCAGAACCAGAUGAUCACCCUAAUGUUGGUGACGUGGAAGAUUUUGUGCAGCCUCACUCAGAUAAAUUUUACUCUUGCCUUCAUCACCAGGACAGACAUGACCAGGAGCUAUGCUUUGGACAGAAGGAACAUGAAAAGAACUGCAAAAUUCUCGCUUGAUGAAUGAUUGUGAGGAAUGUUUUCAAAUGUGUUUUUCCUCAAGGUUGCUGCUUCUGUGUGCAAUUUAAUUCAGACAGCACCUGUCUCUGAUCAUUAUUUUUUAGAGUUCCAGUAAUCUAUAAACUUAAUCUAGAAAAGAAAAUGUCCUAUUUCCAAAAUACUCUGGUGGAAUUGCACUCCUGUUUUGAUUGCUCAUUACUAAGGGGCAGACACU